rnacentral:sRNA from 1 species
UAACUGGUGAAUCUGGGUGUGCAACAUCAU